AUCUGCACACAGGGGAAGUAUCAGAGAAACACAAUGUUAAAAUAAUGGCAGUAUAUGUUACUAAGAAUUAUUUCACAGAAGGGAGAACUGGCCUGUGAAAGGCUGUCCUAUUAAUCCAGAUUUCUGCUUCUCAAGUAUUUUGUAAUUGCAGUGAGACAGUAGUUCUGGAUACAAAUUCUGCCUGUAUGUCCACUAAUAACCAUUGGAUAAAAUACAGAAGCAGUUUCUGGAGCAAAAACUGGAAGCCCCAGGUGAAUGUCUUAUUCUCAGAGCUACUGGCUCUUGCUUACUCUCUCCUGUCUGCAGGGAUCUUGUGCUCCUGACUACACAGCUUCCUCAGGGGCGAGGAAUACUCUUGUACCCUUUCAGCCUCUAAUGAUCACUGCUGCAGGUUAGAAAUAUGUGGAUAAGACGUGCUGUUUAUCCAGGUACUAAACAAGAGACGUGAUGGCCUGCUUUGUCUCACCGGCUAAUGAACGGCUGAAUGCUCUGCCCAGUGAGUGGCUCCAUGCUCAUCGGCAUUGGCUCUGGAGUUGAUAGCCAGUAGGAAUAGUCAUUCCUUGAGGCAUAAUUACAAACAUUGUUGAUGUUACAGAACAUGAACGGCAUGGUGCUGAAACGUCGGAGACAGCUCCCAGCAGUACCUACGGAAUAAGAUGUGUGAAAUGUGACAGCAGUGUUUUCACUUUAUUUUUAGCAGUUUUUUGGGAACAUUAAUUGCGUGUUCGUCCUAUCCACCUGUGAGUGCACAGUAUGUGCUAUCAAAUUGUCACAUGCAGGAAAAACGUAACCUCUGAAUUUGGUUCACUCUGUCAUCCUGAAUUACCAUGUGCAACCUCUGGAAGCAGUAGAUCUUAGCAAGCAUUCCCCAACCUCAUCUGAGUAAUCUCCAGGACUAUCAUAUCUUCAGAGAACCAGAGCAUUUAAAAAAGGGGCUAUAACCUUUUUCCCUGUAAAGAAAGAGCACAAAAAAUAUCUCACCCAAAUCUUGUCCGUGGGCUCUCUCGUUUCCUUGCACAUACAGAAGAGAGAAUCCAUCGUAUAUUCUUAAUGUUCCUUGUGGACAUAGUGGUGUAUCCCUGGUCUGGCUGUGACGAGUUAUAAGGAAUCCAUGAGCGACUGAGGCUGUUCCAGGAGGACCAGGUGGGCCUUGUAGGCCAUCAGGACCAGGGGGUCCCUGUACUCCUCGUGAACCUGUUCACAGGAGAGAAGCACAACACGCAGUAUUUAUUAACAGCAUUUCUUGCUCUUUUAGGACUAAGGUGACUUUGAAAGGAAGGAUGGUUUAGUGAUUACGGUGCUUACAAGUUGGGUGACCUCGUACUCCUAACACCAUCUUCCUCAAAUGAUUUUCUCUGUAAGCUUGGCCAACUUGCUGAGGCUGUUACAGCUAGUUAUAAAAUAUCAGAUAGUGUGACUUCCCUGCAUCACAGCGGUAUUGUAAAGAUAAAUAUGUUGAGAGCUGUGAGGCACUAAGAUAACACAGUUGCUGUGGACAUGACAACCACUGACCUAACUCUAAAUCAGCUCCACAGUUCCAGGACAUACUUGCCUGCGCAUGCAGCUUAGUAAGCUAAACCUGAAACAUUUUGCUCAAAAUCACAAAAAAAGUGGCAGAGGCCGAAAGAGAACCAAGUUUCACUCUAAAGCAUGGUCUAAGAACACCUGAGCCAAAGUCCACCAAAAUCAGUAGAAAAGCUGCAGUCAGUUUUGGAGUAGGUUACAAAAAAAUGGAAAUAAACUAGAAUAACCUUGAAUGACAGCAAAAAACCCCCAACCAACCAACCAACGGAUCAUGUGACUCAGAGAAGGCUUUUGUUCUCAAACAGCAAAAAAUUUCAGGAAAUAUAACUACAAAAUAUUUAGACUAUUUUCUGCAAGAAUCAUUGUUAUUUACUUUUUUUUCCACUUAAAAUAAUGCUAACAUAUUUCAUAGAGCUACUUAGGAGAAAAAAAAGGAAAUAAACAAUAUUGUGGAUUUUUAUGCUGUUUUAACUGUUUGAAUUCUGAUAUUUUCUCACUGCUUGCAAUAUAUAGCUACUUAAUGUUUAUCAUCUUUUUAGAAAAUUGUCCCAGAAUCUAGUAUGAUUUCUUUUCUCAAAGCGUAAUUCAGUAAUUCCAAGCAAUGGCUGCAUGAUAGCCUUAUCUCUGCAUAUGGUGAAAUUCUUUCCUUUAUGAAAUCUGUUUUUGCUCAUUCCUGAUUUCCAUGCAAAGUGAAAAUGAUUUUGCUAAUUCUUUCCCUUCUGUUUCUUACUGCCUUCAUUAUUUGCUGUGUUAUCACCUGUGCUGCAAAGGGUAUGCCAUUAAGCUCAAGAUAAGGUGUGCUACAAUAUUAUUCAGCACUGACUGGUAACAUGUUGGUCUUGAGAAUAUCCCAAAUCAAAGUAUAAGCUGUAACGUUUUUACACUAGGAAAACCCUAAAAUUAUGAUUCUAUUAUUAUUCUCAUGAGGCAAUUCUCACUUUCCAAUAUUAGCCUGCACUCAGAAGGGAUGAUCUCUUUUUCCACUGGCUCCUCAUAGGAUAAACACCAUACCUGGUUGGCCUGGAAGACCUCUCUCGCCUUUACGUCCUCCUGGACCAUCAAACCCAGGGAGUCCAUCUCGCCCUGGAUCACCAGGAAGACCAAUUGGACCUAGAAAAAACAAAUGCAUAAGUGAAAUGGAAACUCUUGAAAUCUUACUACAGAAAUCUUUAAACUGGGACUCAUCUGUUGUUUCCUUAUGAUAUAUUAGAUAAGAACAGACCAUUAAACGAGAUGUAGAUGUUACAA